GACGAACGCUGGCGGCGUGCUUAACACAUGCAAGUCGAACGGAAAGGCCCUGCUUUUGUGGGGUGCUCGAGUGGCGAACGGGUGAGUAACACGUGAGUAACCUGCCCUUGACUUUGGGAUAACUUCAGGAAACUGGGGCUAAUACCGGAUAGGAGCUCCUGCUGCAUGGUGGGGGUUGGAAAGUUUCGGCGGUUGGGGAUGGACUCGCGGCUUAUCAGCUUGUUGGUGGGGUAGUGGCUUACCAAGGCUUUGACGGGUAGCCGGCCUGAGAGGGUGACCGGCCACAUUGGGACUGAGAUACGGCCCAGACUCCUACGGGAGGCAGCGGUGGGGAAUAUUGCACAAUGGGCGGAAGCCUGAUGCAGCAACGCCGCGUGCGGGAUGACGGCCUUCGGGUUGUAAACCGCUUUCGCCUGUGACGAAGCGUGAGUGACGGUAAUGGGUGAAGAAGCACCGGCUAACUACGUG
rnacentral:rRNA from 1 species